CAGCAGAAGCGCUGCAUGCGCGUCACAGCAGAAGCGCUGCUCCGCGGCGCGCCUCACCAGGUGCGCUCUCCAGCAGUGUGCAGGACGGAGCUGAGAGCAGCAGAGACAGAGACGAUCACUAAAACCACGAAAGCACUUCACAAACGCAUGGGAAAAAGGACUCAAACCAAACGGACUACCGGUUUUUCACCUUCCAAGAUUCCAGUUAAUAAACUGAAAUACGAGUGAAAUCCUGAGCCUCAUCGAGUCCUUCCUUUUCAAGUGUGGGAAGCCAUGUCGUUAUAAAUACACCUGAC